GACGAACGCUGGCGGCGUGCCUAAUACAUGCAAGUAGAACGCACAGUUUAUAUCGUAGCUUGCUACACCAUAGACUGUGAGUUGCGAACGGGUGAGUAACGCGUAGGUAACCUGCCUGGUAGCGGGGGAUAACUAUUGGAAACGAUAGCUAAUACCGCAUAAUAUUAAUUAUUGCAUGAUAAUUAAUUGAAAGGUGCAAUUGCACCACUACCAGAUGGACCUGCGUUGUAUUAGCUAGUAGGUGAGGUAACGGCUCACCUAGGCGACGAUACAUAGCCGACCUGAGAGGGUGAUCGGCCACACUGGGACUGAGACACGGCCCAGACUCCUACGGGAGGCAGCAGUAGGGAAUCUUCGGCAAUGGACGAAAGUCUGACCGAGCAACGCCGCGUGAGUGAAGAAGGUUUUCGGAUCGUAAAGCUCUGUUGUAAAGAGAAAGAAACGGGUGUGAG
rnacentral:rRNA from 1 species